ACAGACUAUAGGUUUAUCGAAAUCAAUACGUCGCCAUUUUGACUUGGUUUGGAAAGAAAGCAAGCACCUGUCGGCGACCGAAAUUCAUUCUAGCUUUAUGUCAUUUAAUGUUUGUUUUAGUCAGUAAAGCAGACUCAAAAAGCGAGAGAUUUCGGUAUUUGUAGGGUGUAAAGGUAGAGGAUCUAGUCCAAACUGUGUGGUAACAUCUAGAUAGUCUAGGUACCGGUUUUGGAACUGUGACUCCUAACACCAUGCCUUUCCAAUCAAAGAAUGAUCAAAUUAUCAAGCUGAAAAAUCAACGGGAACAAAUGACAUACCACCUCAAAAUCGAUAGAGUCAGAAUGACAAAAACUUUACCAGAAAUGAUACAUUUUUGUAAUCAAAGAAUGGCAGAUGACCCAUUGAUUCAUCCUGUGAAAGAUAACCCUUUCAAGGACAAGAAAACAUGUACAAUAUUAUGACUUCAAUGAAUUUAAAAAUGUAUCAACAUUUAAAUGGUGCACAUGGUAGACAUAGUGAAUUUUGUUGUCAUGGAAGAUCUGAUUGGGAUUUACCUGCCCUGUAUAUUACACUGUUAAUUUUUAUAAUGUACUAAAUAGCUUUUAUAUUUAUUCACCAUACUGUCAAUUCAGUCAUUAUUGUCUUAUCAAAAAGAUAUUAAGAAAAAAUAUCAACAGUUGAUUGGAAAGAAGAAAAAAAGAAUUGUUAAAAUUUUUGUAAUUUCUGGCAGUUACUAGUUCAUAAAUAUCUAUAGCCACAUGGCCAAAAAAUAAUAGGUAUAGUGAAUAUUUAAAAAGUUACUUCAUUACAUGUGUUUUGAUAUGUUUCUUCAUAAAGUUACAUGCAAUUUCAUGUUUCAUUAACUUUUCAAAUAAGAAUUACAAGAUGAUUUUAAGAGUCUACAUGGAUUUAGUUUGCAUGUUCAUACUUGUUGUAAUUGUAUGAUUUUGAUUUACAUAUCCUAUCCACAGAUGAUCACCAGUAAUAUCUGUAAGAUGAAAUAUGUGUUCCUCAAAUAAUAUUGACAAUUUCUGAAGGCAUUUCUAUAUGAUUCUACAAGGAUUGAUGCCCCCACUACCAACCACCCAAAUAAAAAGAAAGAAAAAAAUAGCAUUCAGGAAAAGUUUUAAGAUUUGGUUGGUUAAUGUAUAAUUUGACGUUAUAGUUUGAUAUUGUUCUUUGGCAAUAUUUGUACUGGAAGAAAGUUGAAAAGUCUCCAAACCAUAAUAAAAUUUUAGCAAUCUUGCUUCAAUUUGAAAUAAACACAUAUUCCAUCUUAGAUACUAGUAUAUUACAAUACCGGUAUGCAUUUGCAUGUAAAGAAAUCAUAUACAAUUGCAUAACUACCCAAACAUAUUGAUUUAAAAAAAUUCCAUUUAGGUAAUUGAAAAAAUGAGAACUUAAUUUUCUAGGGUACUUAUCUUGUAAAUAAACUCAAGCCAGAAGAUAUUAAUUUCAAGCUUUUGGAUUUUAUCAUACAGAUUGUUUAAGCCUUAUUGUAAUUUAAAAUUAGUUUGAAGGACAUGGUUACAUCUAUAAAGAUACAUUAAGGUGUCUCUUUACAUGCAAAUUUUUUUUUUUUGGUGUUUUCCAUUAGCAUGAAAAAUUAUAUUUUAAUUUUUUGAAGAAUAUUUGUUUUUUCGUUUAAAGAAUAUUUUGUUCAUUUUAAUUAGUUGUCUUUGAAUGUAGUGGAUUACCUUUGUAUACAGAUACUUAUAUUUGUCUGCAUCAGCAUAUACAUCAUAUUCUUUGGUUGUUACAAAAUGGGAAAAGGUAAUUAAAAAACACUUUAAAGAUUUUUGAAAUAACAAUGCAAUGCAAAUACAAUUCAGGGAAAUUAUAGACUGGAAAGAAGUUAAUUCAUACUGAUAAAGUUUGAGUUUUUCAAAGUUAUUUGUUAAGUUUGCAGAAAGGUUUAAGGUUGUUUUAUUUCUGUUACAAAACAGAUGCUCAAAGUGAUGAUGCAUAGAUCUCAAUUCAGCCAGAUGCAAAUGUUCAAACAAUAAAAGACUUACAAUGAUACAUACAUAUAUAGUUUAUACCAAUUUAUGUCACCUUGAUUGGGAAAAUACAAUUUUUAAGAACCAUCACUACCUAUAUCUGACAGUCGUCAAGAUUUUGUAUCAAAUUGACAUGGGCCAUAGGGAUAUUUGAAAGCAUGCAAUUAAAAUUUAUUGCUGAUCAAAAAUCAGAUUUUCAAGUACACUGGUGACAAUAUAUUAUUAAUGUCUUUCUAUCCAUUAAAACAUUGGUGCUGUUCAAUUAGGAUAUUUUGUAAACCUGGCUGUUUUAUUAGUUUAUGAGGUAAAACUUGGAAGACUAAUAGAUACCAUAUUAUUGUUGUUUUCAGAUAUAUUGUCAGAAUAAAAUCAAUAAUAUUGACUCAGUACCAUAAAAGUAAUCUUGUAAUAUGUGUGUAAUUAACCUGUAUUAUUAUUUAUGUUCUGAUAGUCAAUAUUCUGCUUAUUAUCUUCCAUGUUGAAGGUUCACACCUUUAAGAUACUUAAAUUUAUACGUCAGUGUAAUUAAUUGUCUUCCAGGAUAUAUAAGGGAAUUAUGCACAUUAUUUGUAUAUAAGAAUUGAAUAAAGAGAGUGUAUAUUUUC